UACAAUUUAGUUUAAAUAGAAUUUUUGUUUUUGGUACAAAAGGUUUAAUUGUAA
rnacentral:tRNA from 1 species